GACGAACGCUGGCGGCGUGCUUAACACAUGCAAGUCGAGCGGUAAGGCCUUUCGGGGUACACGAGCGGCGAACGGGUGAGUAACACGUGGGUGAUCUGCCCUGCACUUCGGGAUAAGCCUGGGAAACUGGGUCUAAUACCGGAUAUGACCUCCUAUCGCAUGGUGGGUGGUGGAAAGAUUUAUCGGUGCAGGAUGGGCCCGCGGCCUAUCAGCUUGUUGGUGGGGUAAUGGCCUACCAAGGCGACGACGGGUAGCCGACCUGAGAGGGUGACCGGCCACAAUGGGACUGAGAGACGGCCCAGACGCCUACGGGAGGCAGCAGUGGGGAAUAUUGCACAAUGGGAGAAAGCCUGAUGCAGCGACGCCGCGUGAGGGAUGACGUCCUUCGGGUUGUAAACCGCUUUCAGCAGGGACGAAGCGCAAGUGACGGUACCUGCAGAAGAAGCACCGGCUAACUACGUG
rnacentral:rRNA from 1 species